rnacentral:rRNA from 1 species
ACCGAGCGACGCCGCGUGCGGGAUGAAGGCCUUCGGGUUGUAAACCGCUGUCAGAGGGGAGGAAAUCCAUGAGGGCACUCUCUCAUGGUUGACCUAUCCUCAGAGGAAGUGCGGGCUAAGUUCGUGCCAGCAGCCGCGGUAAGACGAACCGCACAAACGUUAUUCGGAAUCACUGGGCUUAAGGGGUGCGUAGGCGGCCAUGCAAGUCGGGUGUGAAAGCCCUCAGCUCAACUGAGGAAUUGCGCCCGAUACUGCGUGGCUUGAGGGAGACAGAGGUGAGCGGAACUUGCGGUGGAGCGGUGAAAUGCGUUGAUAUCGCAAGGAACACCAGUAGCGAAAGCGGCACACUGGGUCUCUUCUGACGCUGAGGCACGAAAGCUAGGGUAGCGAACAGGAUUAGAUACCCUGGUAGUCCUAGCUGUAAACGUUGAGCACUGGGUUGGAGAGUCCUCCAUAGCUUUCCAGCCGUAGCGAAAGUGUUAAGUGCUCCGCCUGGGGAGUAUGGUCGCAAGGCUGAAACUCAAAGGAAUUGACGGGGGCUCACACAAGCGGUGGAGGAUGUGGCUUAAUUCGAGGCUACGCGAAGAACCUUAUCCUGGAUUUGACAUGCUUGGGAAUCCCCUGGAAACAGGGGAGUGCCUUCGGGAGCCCUUGCACAGGUGCUGCAUGGCUGUCGUCAGCUCGCGUCGUGAGAUGUCGGGUUAAGUCCCUUAACGAGCGAAACCCUUGUCGUUAGUUGCCAGCGGGUAAAGCCGGGGACUCUAACGAGACUGCCGGUGUUAAACCGGAGGAAGGUGGGGAUGACGUCAAGUCCUCAUGGCCUUUAUGUCCAGGGCUGCACACGUCCUACAAUGGUGCGUACAAAGGGAAGCGAACUCGCGAGAGUAAGCAAAUCCCAAAAAACGCGCCCCAGUUCGGAUUGCAGGCUGCAACUCGCCUGCAUGAAGCCGGAAUCGCUAGUAAUCGCGGGUCAGCAUACCGCGGUGAAUAUGUUCCUGAGCAUUGUACACACCGCACGUCAAGCCACGAAAGUGGGGGGCCGGCGAAGUCGCCGAGCUAACCC